rnacentral:snRNA from 1 species
GGUUAACCGUUUGGUUAUUGGUU